UGGGGAAUUGUUCGCAAUGGGCGAAAGCCUGACGACGCAACGCCGCGUGGAGGAUGAAGAUCUUCGGGUCGUAAACUCCUUUCGAUCGGGACGAACGGCCGGUGGAUGAAUAUUCCAUCGGAAUGACGGUACCGAGAGAAGAAGCCCCGGCUAACUCAGUGCCAGCAGCCGCGGUAAUACGAAGGGGGCUAGCGUUGCUCGGAAUUACUGGGCGUAAAGCGCACGUAGGCGGAUCUUUAAGUCAGGGGUGAAAUCCUGGAGCUCAACUCCAGAACUGCCUUUGAUACUGGGGAUCUCGAGUCCGGAAGAGGUGAGUGGAACUCCGAGUGUAGAGGUGAAAUUCGUAGAUAUUCGGAAGAACACCAGUGGCGAAGGCGGCUCACUGGUCCGGUACUGACGCUGAGGUGCGAAAGCGUGGGGAGCAAA
rnacentral:rRNA from 1 species